rnacentral:rRNA from 1 species
GGACCAUCCUCCAAGGCUAAAUACUCGUGAUCGACCGAUAGCGUACUAGUACUGUGAAGGAAAGGUUAAAAGAACCCCGGGAGGGGAGUGAAAUAGAUUCUGAAACCGCAUGCAUACAAACAGUAGGAGCCCUUCGGGGUGACUGCGUACCUUUUGCAUAAUGGGUCAGCGACUUAUGUUAUGUGGCAAGCCUAACCGAUUAGGGGAGGCGCAGCGAAAGCGAGUCCGAACAGGGCGAUUCAGUCGCAUGGCAUAGACCCGAAACCAGAUGAGCUAACCAUGGCCAGGCUGAAGGUGUGGUAACACACACUGGAGGGCCGAACCUACUGGUGUUGCAAAACCAGAGGAUGAGCUGUGGUUAGGGGUGAAAGGCUUAACAAAUCUGGAGAUAGCUGGUUCUCCCCGAAAACUAUUGAGGUAGUGCCUUGCGCAUGAGCUUCUGGGGGUAGAGCACUGUUAUAGCUAGGGGGACAUGGCGUCUUACCAAACUAUGGCAAACUCCGAAUACCAGAAAGCUUCGCGCAGGAGACAGAGCACCGGGUGCUAACGUCCGGACUCAAAAGGGAAUCAACCCAGACCGCCAGCUAAGGUCCCUAAUAUCAGCUAAGUGGAAAACGAAGUGGAAAGGCUAAAACAGUCAGGAAGUUGGCUUAGAAGCAGCCAUCCUUCAAAGAAAGCGUAAUAGCUCACUGAUCGAGUCCUUCCGCGCGGAAGAUGUAACGGGGCUAAGUUGAUAACCGAAGCUGCGGAUUCACACUUUGAGUGUGAGUGGUAGGGGAGCGUUCUGUAAGCCUGUGAAGGUGGAUCGUAAGGUCUGCUGGAGGUAUCAGAAGUGCGAAUGCUGACAUGAGUAACGAUAAAGCGGGUGAAAAGCCCGCUCGCCGCAAACCCAAGGUUUCCUGCUCUACGUUAAUCGGAGCAGGGUGAGUCGGUUCCUAAGGCCAGGCUGAGAAGCGUAGCUGAUGGAAAUCAGGUUAAUAUUCCUGAACCGGCGUUGAAUGCGAUGGGGUGACGGAGCAGCCAGAGUGGACCGGGUGUUGGAUGUCCCGGCUUCCGAGCGAUGGGUGCCUGCAGGCAAAUCCGCAGGCGUAUACCCAGGACGAAGGAUCGGGCCUUCUUUUGAAGGCGAAGCCACUGGAAGCGCUUCCAGGAAAAACCUCUAAGCUUCAGUUCAACGGCGACCGUACCGUAAACCGACACAGGUGGGUGAGCUGAAUAUGCUCAGGCGCUUGAGAGAACUCGGGAGAAGGAACUCGGCAAAUUGACACCGUAACUUCGGAAGAAGGUGUGCCUUUGUAGCUUGAUGGGAGAGAAACCCAAAGGGCGAAGAGGUCUCAGAGAAUCGGUGGCUGUAACUGUUUACUAAAAACACAGCGCUCUGCAAAGAUGAAAGUCGACGUAUAGGGCGUGAUGCCUGCCCGGUGCUGGAAGAUUAAUUGAUGGGGUGCAAGCUCCUGAUCGAAGUCCCAGUAAACGGCGGCCGUAACUAUAACGGUCCUAAGGUAGCGAAAUUCCUUGUCGGGCAAGUUCCGACCUGCACGAAUGGCAUAAUAAUGGCCACACUGUCUCCUCCCGAGACUCAGUGAAAUUGAAAUGUUUGUGAUGAUGCAAUCUCCCCGCGGCUAGACGGAAAGACCCCAUGAACCUUAACUGUAGCUUUGCAUUGGACUUUGAACCGAUCUGUGUAGGAUAGGCGGGAGGCUUUGAAGAAUGGACGCCAGUUCAUUCGGAGCCGUCGUUGAAAUACCGCCCUGAUUUGUUUGAGGUUCUAACCUGGGCCAGUAAUCCUGGCUGGGGACCGUGCAUGGUGGGCAGUUUGACUGGGGCGGUCUCCUCCUAAAGGGUAACGGAGGAGUGCGAAGGUACGCUAAUCACGGUCGGAAAUCGUGAGGAUACUGCAAUGGGAAAAGCGUGCCUGACUGCGAGACAGACAAGUCGAGCAGAUGCGAAAGCAGGUCAUAGUGAUCCGGUGGCUUCUGUAUGGAAGGGCCAUCGCUCAACGGAUAAAAGGUACUCUGGGG